ensembl:lncRNA
CUGGCAGAAGGUGACUGGGCAGCUGGACUUCAGCCUUCUCAAAGGGACCCACGCAGCUUUUAUGGGCCUGUCCAGUGUGGCAAGAGUGGCUGAGGUCCUGCAGGAGGGAAGCCAUGUUGGAACAGGUGAGCUGACCCUCAGUCUCCUCUCCCAUGAACUGCACUACAAGUCACCCUCUGCAAGCUGCCAUGCACCCAGGUACCUCAGGAUGGGCCCAAAAGUUCCAGUCACUGAUCUUGGGCUUUCAGCCUCCAAAGAAACAAGUCUGUUAAGAGCCCCAGAAAGUGGAAAUGGAGAAUCACAAGAUUCACAAGAUAAGAAUCACCUUUGCACAGGACAAGGUGAAAUCACAGUGACUCCUCAGACCCAAAGCAGGCUGACAAGGAGGUAAAGCGGCUUUGCUUUUUUGUGGGACCCAAGUAUGCUCAGUGAGGUGAGCUGAUUAUUUUCUGCUGAUUAGAGUGGAAAAAGAAAUGGCAUUUAUUUGUGGAAACAAACUUGCAGAAGCAGAGGUGAGCGGGAUUCUUCAGUGAGUGGGUCAUUGAUGCUGGCCUCAAGGUUUUCAGCCCGUCCUCAGUGACUCCCAGCUACAGGCAGGACCCAGCAGCAGAAGAACCCUGGGAACAGACUGUGUCCCCAGACCCUGACUGCCUCCAGGGAUGUUCUUUCUAAUGCACCCAGAACACAAAUCAUAUGGCUUCACCGUGACAGUUAUAAAUUUCAUCCACCAUGGAGAGUUGGAGGCAGGCGAUUUGUUGGGUCCAAGUCAAAGGUUACAAAAGAAUUCUUCAGAUUUGGGUGAUUUCCACACCUAUUAGGUGUGGUCUUGUCCUGGAACAUUACAGCAUCUGGGGAUCACUGAGGUCUCAUUUGUGACCGGAGGCCAAAACACAGUUAUGUCUGAAAUGUCAUAGCUGGUCUGUAGGCAGGAGAACUAGGCCUACUCAAAUGAUUUUUCCC